UACGGAGGGGGCAAGCGUUACUCGGAAUUAUUGGGCGUAAAGGGCGCGUAGGUGGUCGCGUGCGUCGGAGGUGAAAUCCCCGGGCUUAACCCGGGAACUGCCUCCGAUACGGCGUGACUUGAGUCCGGGAGAGGAGAGCAGAAUUCCCAGUGUAGCGGUGAAAUGCGUAGAUAUUGGGAGGAAUACCAGUGGCGAAGGCGGCUCUCUGGACCGGUACUGACGCUAAAGCGCGAAAGCGUGGGUAGCAAACAGG
rnacentral:rRNA from 1 species